rnacentral:lncRNA from 1 species
CAGGAGCCGAUGCUUACAUGCAGUUGCACUUAAAUGGGCAAAUACCACAAACGCCCAUUGACAAUCCAUCUAGAUGAGUCCCUAAGUGGUUAUAACUGUGAAAAUUACGUUGCAGCAAGCGUUAGAAUUGCAAUGAAACACGAUAGGGUCCUCUAACGGCCCACAACACUCCUUUCACUUAUGCAUGGAUACAAUCGAUGAGUCAUCCCCUCUGGCACGCACACGAGUCCGGAUCAGGCUGAAGCUUUACGCUAGACAAGCGCAGAUAGAUACAAAAGCUGAAAUUUAAGAGAAAGCCGUUUUGCAACUUGGUACACAUGCACCUGUGUGCGCCGCGACUGAGUCGCAAGGCACGUGCACAGAUCCGCUAGGGAUACACUCACAGCCUGGGAAACCACACUGCGUCAAUACUGUACCUUUCACAUGCCCUGCCUAUGACUCACAGCAAUGCAGCAUUCCUCAAUCACCGCACAACACUCUCGGCUCGCGACCAAAAAUGUCAGCCAUUGCAUGGCCUGCAUCACAUGAAAGAAAUACAAUUUCAUGAGGCCUAGCGGCGGAGGACAUCGCCCCAGCACGCGCGCCUGAAACUCAUCUCACCCAGAAUACUUUAUAAUGCGCUGACACUUUCUCCGCAAUCCAACGCCAUGCGCUGCCAAACACGGCUGAGGCAGCAGGUGCUACGAUCUUCUCUCUCUUUUUCCACGUGCACCCGCGAUCAGCCGCUGCAGAUGGCCUCUUCAGAGUACUUAGUGAGCCCUGGCCACUGGGCUGACUGGGCAGGAGUCUAGAGUGGAAUUCCUGGAGCACGUGCGGCUCGCGCUCUCAGCCUGCGCCACCCC